AUCAAACUAAGCAAGACAAAACGGUACAGAGGAGGAACAAAAGAUAAGCUCGAUAGCAAGAUAAACACAGUCCACUCCAGAUUGUUCACUAUUGGUGCAGGUAUAAAUCAGAGAGCCGCAGCCUACAGAGGUCAGACCGGGCUUGAUCCAGACGUUCUCCAGCCUCCAGUGUUUACAUGUUCCACCGUGACUCACUGGAUUACAUUACUGCUCGUACAAAGUGAUGUGAUGCAACAUCACUUAUUAUCUUGUCUGGGAGGCUGUGGGAUCCAGCUGGAUUUACUGGC
ensembl:lncRNA